rnacentral:rRNA from 1 species
CCUACGGGAGGCUGCAGUGGGGGAGAUUGCACAAUGGGGGAAACCCUGAUGCAGCGACGCCGCGUGAGUGAAGAAGGAUUUCGGGAUGUAAAGCUCUAUCAGCAGGGAAGAAAAUGACAGUACCUGACCAAGAAGCCCCGGCUAACUACGUGCCAGCAGCCGCGGGAAUACGUAGGGGGCAAGCGUUAUCCGGAUUUACUGGGGGUAAAGGGAGCGUAGCCGGUUCUGUACGUCUGGAGUUAAAGCCCGGGGCCCACCCCCGGGACUGCUUUGGAAACGGUGUAACUGGAGUACAGGAGGGGCCGGCGGAAUUCCUGGUGUCGCGGUGACAUGCGUAGAUAUCAGGCGGAACACCGGCGGCGACGGCGGCCUGCUGGACUGCACCUGCCGUUGCGGCUCGAAAGCGUGGGGAGCACACAGGAUUAGAUACCCCAGUAGUC